GUCCUUGCUCUGCUGAAUAUUAUUAAUUCAUUCUCCAGCCAACACCUCCAGUGUCUAUGCCCUUCUGUGCAGCCUAAGUCCUGCCACCAACUGAGACUGGGAAACCCUUUGAGACAGUCUUUACACCAUAGCCACGAGCAAAACAGAAGAAUGUAGUAACCAUACAAGCUAAUGUACGACAUGAGACUGAACAACCCUUCCCUAUACAAUUUCUAAAGGCAACUCAGGCUCUUGUAUACCUCACUGUAAUUUCUUUCUUUUCUCUGAAAAAUAAAUAAGGGAUUCCCUCAGCUCCUGGGAUAGUCUGAUCCGGAACAAAAUCAUAGUGGUAGAUGGGUAAUUUUCUAAUUUCUGACUUCAACUCCUCUGCUGUAAAACAAGCCAAUAACCAUAAAGGAGAUGGAGAGCAGUUAUUCACUCCAUGCUUCAGAACAAUCUAGUACAUAUUUUACAUAUCCUUAUUCGGGUAGCUUUCCUCUUCUCAAGCAGAAACAGACUACCUGAAUUUCUUCAAUCUUUUUUCAUAUAGCCUAUAUCCUGCAGGUUUCCAUAUAACCCAUCUUUCCUGUUCUAUUUAAGCUCUUCCUUUUUUUUUUUUUUUUUUCCUUCAUCAUGUUUCUUGUCCUCAGCAAAAAUAUGUCUUAUAACCCCAGACAGAGAGAUUCGAGCAGGACCCAUUAAACGAACCUUAUCACUUCCAGAGACCAUGAAGGGGUGGGGGGAAACAGUCUCACCUCCCUGCUGAGUUGCUAAGAGGGUAUAAUGAGGUAAAAGAGGUACAGUUCUAAUAUUACUGAGUCUCAACAGAAAAAAAAGCUUCACGGCUCUGCCACAAUGGAGCAGUGGAAGUUUGACUGUGAGGUACCCAGCUCUUGCACCCAGUAGACCAGACCCAGAUAGGCGAUCGUUAUCUGGUUCCACACUGCAAUCCAUAACUAUUAAUUAAAAAAAAGAAAAAUAUCACAUAUUCAUUGUUUUUCCUAUCAUGUUUCUCUCCCACUGCACAUACAUAAACAGAAAGAACAACUAGCAUGCCUUUAGUUACCGUGCUUGUCUGUUUU
ensembl:lncRNA